rnacentral:lncRNA from 1 species
GUCGGGCAGGGAGUUCCGCCGGCUCUCCCCGGCCCCCCUCAGUAGUAGCGGUUCAGGCUGCGGGUGUCGGGGCGGGGGCGGGGCCGUCGGGCAGGGAGUUCCUCCGGCUCUCCCCGCGCCCCCCCUCAGUAGUAGCGCAGGGAGCUGCGGGUGGCCGGGCCGGGGCCGUCGGGCUGCCCGUUCCGCCGGCUCUCCCCGGCCCCCCUCAGUAGUAGAGGUUCAGGCUGCGGGUGUCGGGGCGGGGGCCGGGCCGGGGCCGUCGGGCAGGGAGUUCCGCCGGCUCUCCCCGCGCCCCACCUCAGCAGUAGCUGUUCAG